rnacentral:rRNA from 1 species
UACGAAGGGGGCUAGCGUUGCUCGGAAUCACUGGGCGUAAAGCGCACGUAGGCGGAUUGCUAAGUCAGGGGUGAAAUCCUGGAGCUCAACUCCAGAACUGCCUUUGAUACUGGCGACCUUGAGUCCGGGAGAGGUGAGUGGAACUGCGAGUGUAGAGGUGAAAUUCGUAGAUAUUCGCAAGAACACCAGUGGCGAAGGCGGCUCACUGGCCCGGUACUGACGCUGAGGUGCGAAAGCGUGGGGAGCAAGCAGG